rnacentral:lncRNA from 1 species
CCCUCCUACAACGUCCGCAGCCUGCGCCGCGCGGUGGCUCUGGACUAGGCCUUUUCCUCUGGGUUGUGGAUCCUCUUCUCUAUGACUCCGUCCGAUCCCUAGUCUUUCUUCCAAAACAUCAUGAAACCCCCCCUCCAGGAGCCUUUCAUGCUUCUCUGUGUCUCAGUUUCCUCUUCUAUAACGUGGACGUAACAUGUUAUUCCCUCCAUAGCAGUGCUCCAUAUGUUUAGUUAUGAUUGUUGCUAUUAUUAAUAUUAUUGCUCUAUUAAUCCUGCUUGGCAGGACCUCUAGAUGACUUAAACAUCUCUGGCUUCACUGAUGGGGACACACACCAGCUCAGAGAGGUCAAGGGACUUGGCUCAAGUUUUAAAAAAUGAGUCAGAGGCCCGCUGGAUUGUAUUUUUCAUUCAUUCAUUCAUUCAACAAAUACUGAGCACCUAGCUGGGAAUACAGUGGCCAACAAGAAGUCCCUGCUCUCCUGGAGCUGACUUUUCAGCUCUGAAACUCUGAGCUCCUCUCCACCGUUCCAGCACUGGACACCAGGCCUGUUACCCAGAAGACUUCACAUCCACCCAUCUUUGGCUCGUGGAGGGCUCAGUGAGCGUGUGAGAAAAUGAAGCAACUUGGCAGAAUGAACGUGCCUGUUAAUCUGCAACCCAGAGAAGAUGUAAAGUCCUCUUGGGGCCAUGUGCGGUGGCUCACGCCUGUAAUCCCAGCACUUUGGGAGGCUGAAGCUGGUGGACCACUUGAGGUCAGGAGUUUGAGACCAGCCUGGGUAACAUGGCAAAACCUUAUCCCUAAAAAUAUACAAAAAAAUGGCUGGGCGCGGUGGCUCACGCCUGUAAUCCCAGCACUUUGGGAGGCUGAGGCGGGCAAAUCACCCGAGGUCAGGAGUUCAAGACCAGCCUGGCCAACAUGGUGAACCCUGUCUCUACUAAAAAUACAAAAAUUAUCUGGCUGUGAUGGCAGGCGCCUGUAAUCCCAGCUACUCUGGAGGUUGAGGCAGAAGAAUCGCUUGAACCUGGGAGGUGGAGGUUGCAGUGAGCAGAAUCAUAUCACUGCACUCCAGCCUGGGUGACAGAGCUGAAUAAAUAAAAUUAUGUAUUCAGUGGAAGGCUGAUCAAGGACUCAAAAGAAUGCAAUCUUUUGUCUCCUAUCUACUUUUUUUUUUUUUGAGACAGAGUCUCACUCUGUCGCCCAGGCUGGAGUGCAGUGGCACAAUCUCGGCUCACUGCAACCUCUGCCUCUGAGGUUCAAGUGAUUCCCCUGCCUCAGCCUCCCAGGUAGCUGGGACUAUAGGCAUGCCCCACCAUGUCCGGCUAAUUUUUGUUGUUGUUGUAUUUUAGUAGAGACGGGGUUUCACCAUGUUGGCCAGGAUGGUCUGGAUCUCCUGACCUCAUGAUCCGCCCACCUCAGCCUUCCAAAGUGCUGGGAUUAUAGGCAUGAGCCACUGCACCUGGCCUUGUCUCUUAUGUAUUUCUAACCUGGAAGCCCCUGCUUCAAGCUGUCCUGUCUUACCAGACCAAACCAAUGUACAUCUUACACAUAUUGAUUGAGGUCUCAUGUCUCCCUAAAACUUAAAUGCAAACUGUACCCCUGACCACCUUGGGUAUAUGUCUCAGGAUUUCCUGAGGCUGUCACGGGCACAUCCUUA